rnacentral:lncRNA from 1 species
UUUUUUUGAGACAGGGUCUCACUCUGUCACCCAGGACGGAGGGCAGUGCCAUGAUCAUAGCUCACUGCAGCCUUGACCUUCUGGGCUCAAGCAGUCCUCCAACUUUAGCCUCCCAAGUAGCUGGAACCACAGAGUUUAAGAAAAAUAGAUUGCCUCAACACCAACAUUGCCUGUAGCUACUCCAUGAGGCAAGAUGGACCCAGACUCCACUGUGUGGACUGACCUCCCAGAAGGAUCCUCCUGUCCCUGAAGGCCACUCUGCCUUCAGCUACAGGCCCCAGUGCUGAUUGUGAUACUUAACAAGGGCUUUCAGAUGUCUGAAACAAGAGUAUAGCAUAAAGUUAAGAAUGCGGCUUCUGGAGAGACAGACUUGGUUUCAAAUUCAGCUCUGUGACCUUGGGUGCACAGCAAAGUCUUCUUCUCCCCCCGAUGAAAGAAUGGGAAGGACUCAGGAAGGCUCAACUUGCAAACUCCCCAGUAUCAAGUGGCUGCCUUCAAAAUCCAACCCUUCUCUUCCCAGCUCAUUUCCAGUAUGUAUUUUCAAAGGCCAUGUCAUUUUUGAAGCCUCCUCUCCCGUUUACUCAAGACACACUGAAU